AAUUAUAGACCAGAAGUAUAUUUGGGACGAAAGCCUACAACAUAUACACCAAUGUUCGUUAAAUACCAGACACUCUUUAAUACAAUUUAAAGUACUAUAUAGACUGCAUUAUUCUAAAACAAAAUUAAAUAGAAUUUUUCCUAAUAUCUCUCCUA